AGCUUUAUGAUCGCGAAGAAACUACGUUGUGGGUAGACGGUACUCCGAGAAUCAAUAGACUCGUAUGCAUAGGCAAAAAUCUGGAAGUGGACAUACUGCGAGGCGCUUUUAACAGCACUGCUUGUUGACGAAACUGGAAUAUUGGGCAUGGGAUGGCGUGGAGAUUUUGUAUCAUGAUGAUCACCGGGAACUAACUGCUUCCGUGUACGCAUAACAACGUGCAAUUGUGACUCUGACAAUCUGUGAUAAUUAUGUUGUUUUUAAGUGAAAAAAGUGUUAAUGUGGUGACUAUUUAAUAAUAAAAUAUAAACAUUGCAAUU